rnacentral:rRNA from 1 species
AUUGAACGCUGGCGGCAUGCUUUACACAUGCAAGUCGAACGGCAGCGCGGGCUUCGGCCUGGCGGCGAGUGGCGAACGGGUGAGUAAUACAUCGGAACGUGCCCAGUAGUGGGGGAUAGCUCGGCGAAAGCCGGAUUAAUACCGCAUACGACCUGAGGGUGAAAGCGGGGGAUCUUCGGACCUCGCGCUAUUGGAGCGGCCGAUGGCAGAUUAGCUAGUUGGUGGGGUAAAGGCCUACCAAGGCGACGAUCUGUAGCUGGUCUGAGAGGACGACCAGCCACACUGGGACAGAGACACGGCCCAGACUCCUACGGGAGGCAGCAGUGGGGAAUUUUGGACAAUGGGCGAAAGCCUGAUCCAGCAAUGCCGCGUGUGUGAUGAAGGCCUUCGGGUUGUAAAGCACUUUUGGCGGGAACGAAAAGGACUGUGCCAAUACCACGGUUCGAUGACGGUACCCGCAGAAUAAGCACCGGCUAACUACGUG